UUAUGCUAACAGUAGUUAGCUUCUCACCGAGCUCAAUAACUAGCAUAUCCGUGCUCGUCUUGACAACUUGUGGCUGGAACGGGAUCCCAGGACUUAUAAAGGACCGGAGAUGUAGGAAGGACAGUGCAAGUCUCCCUGCGAGGAGAAAAACGACAAGAAGAAAUGCACAGUGAGACGAGCAUCAGAGCAGCCAGGCUGAGCAGAAAGAUCCAACGGCUGCAAGAAAGAGUCGACAUGAUGCUGAAAACCUGGAGGAGAGGAAGACUGGAAGUCUGAAAGUCUGGAAGUCUGGAAAUCUGAAAGUCUGAAAGUCUGAAAGCUGCUGCGCUUCUGGAGCUGCGAUGGAGGAACCAGAGAAGGACGAUCUUUUAUAUCUUAAAAAUAGGAAGCUGUGUUGUCAUGGGACACGUCUGCAGUGGAAACAACGAUUGACCACUCAGUUUCCCAGAAGUGAAUCAGCUCGUUACGGCACCAUGACUUCUUACUGAUCAGCAUAACUGAGGAAAACAUUCAAAGCAAAAAGUUCACUUCUGAUGGCUCACUACAAACACAGGGAUGGUUGGUCCAGUCAAAUUUUCAGAUUCUCACCCUGGCCACUUUUUGUCGGAGUUCCUCAGAGUUUGGGUCGAUGCACCUCCAUGUUCCUCUCUGGCUCUUGAUUCUAGACGGAGCGGAGGCAGUGAGGACAGACAGCACCAGAAACACGGAGCUCAGACUCGUCCGCCUGUCCUACCUGAAGGCGUGCGUCUUGCAGUCCAGCCGUUUCUGUUCGUAGCACUCUUUGGUUCUGGGGAAGGUUCUGUUGGUCAGCUUCUCGCAGCAGUCCAGCUUUAUGAUGGCCGAGACGGACUCCACUGAACCAGCCAGAGGAAACACAGCAGUCAGGCUUUCACUGUAAACAUUGGCUGUCGUCAUGGCAACGGCUGCCAUAACUCCCUCCUGCUGCCUCUCUCUGAUUACAACGACAUUAAAUAAUCUUUUGGGUUUUUCUCUUAA